GUUUUUAUAGUUGAAUAA
rnacentral:tRNA from 1 species